UUUUCUUGUCAAAAUUUCACUGUUAUUUCGAUAAAUCUAAAUGAAAUCAAAAGUUUUCCAAAAUUCCUCAACGAAUUCAGCAAUAUGGUCGAUAUGCAUGAAGUGAUUUUAAAUUUUAUUGUUUGCUUCUAUCAGACCUACUUGCUAUUUCGUCAAAUCCGUCCAAUCAAGAAGAUGGCUGCUCUGCUCGUUCUGCACAACAUUUUACUCUACUAUGUGAUUAAUAUGUUCAAGCAUUUGGCUCAGUCUUCGAUUGGGUCCACGGGUCCGGUGAACACCUUCUAUUAUGUGCCCUUUGUGUAUGAGACGCCAGCAGUUCGGGAAUCUGGCGAGGAUUGGCAUGUGGUGCUGACAACACCCCAAUGGCGGUUCUUCGAGUCACUUUUCCGGCACCAUUUGGCCCUGUUGCUGCCCUUCAAUCUGGCCCUGCUAGUGCCAAACUGCAAACGGACUUUAAUUAGCGCAUUGGUGUUGGCAUCCAACUGUCUGAUGUUCGUUUGCUUCACCUCGGCCAUCUGUCACUGGGUGUCGUUGUGCGGCGGUCUCUACGGGGGACUGCGACUGAUGCCAAUUGUGGUCCUGGGUCCGGUAUGCCAAAUGGUUUUGAUAGGCUUUUUCAUGGCCCGCAUCUGGCGAAGGCCUUGGAUUAUUAUUGAGGCAUGAAAUUUGAUUUAGGCAGAGCCACAUCUACAUACUGGUGGGUGGUAGCCACCUUUGAGGCCAGCAGCCAUCAUAAUCAGCACCACAAAAGUUAGCAGCAGCAAAUCAAACCAAUAAACCAACUGAACCGAACCGAAAACGAAACGAAACGAACCGACUCCACUCCACCUCUCAAUCUUGCUGCCAUGCUGAAAAUCACUUUCACUGCACAACUGCCAAACUGCAGGCAUUUAUGACAGCAGCAGCAGGAGCAGCAGGAGCAGGAGCGGGAGCAGAGUAGCAGGACCCCUUGGGCAAGGAGCAAAAUCGCAUAACAAAAUUGUUGCUGAAAAGUUGAACAAAUAUUGAGGUGGAUCCAGUAUUAGACUAUAAUUGGGAUUUGUUGGCAAUGGAGGAAUAACAAUUUAAGGAGAAAAACCUAAACAUAAGUAGAAGUUUUACAGUUGGAACACAUUAAAGAAGAAUAAUAGCCUCCACAGAAACUCCAACCUUGAAAUGUGCCAUCUUCUUUAUCUUUAAAUAAUUUACUAUCAUAUUUGGAAAAGCAAAGCCCUUCAAGCGGAGGCCAAUCUUAGCAUGGAUAUCUAUUGAUUAGCCACUGGACAUGGAAAAUGCACACGCAGCAACAGCACAACUACUAUCGCCUGCAAGGACACACCAUGCACACACAUAUCGAUGGAUAUGUAGGUUAACAUGUGGAUGACACAUCAGUUGUGACACUUUUGUUGAUUUCCUGUGCAAACUCUGGCAGACAUUUUAAAUUCAAAUGCAAUAAAAUGUUAAUAUUACUUUAUA